rnacentral:rRNA from 1 species
AACGAACGCUGGCGGCAUGCCUAACACAUGCAAGUCGAACGAGACCUCCGGGUAGAGUGGCGCCCGGGUGCGUAACGCGGGGGAACCUGGCCAUAGGUUCGGAAUAACCCCCCGAAAGGGGGACUAAUACCGGAAAAUGUCUUCGGACCAAAGAUUGCUCGCCAUUGGGUAGGCCGGCGUGGGAUAAGUUAGUUGGUAGGGUAAAGGCAUGCCAAGGAUACGAUCCAUGGCUGGGCUGGGAGGCGGAUCAGCAACACUGGGACUGCGACACGGAGCAGACUGCUACGGGAGGCAGCGGUGGGGAGUCUUAGCCAGCCGGCGCGAGCCUGAUACGGCAGUGUCGCGUGAGUGAUGCAGGUCUUAGGGUGGUAAAGCUCUUUUACCGGGGAUGAUAAUGACAGUACCGGAUGAAUAAGCUCCGGCUAACUCCGUG